rfam:Oryza glumipatula chromosome 1, whole genome shotgun sequence.
AAAAAGACAAACUGUGACUUCCCGUGCCAACGUUUGACUGUUCGUCUUAUAUGAAAUUUUUUUAUAAUUAGUAUUUUCAUUGUUAGAUGAUAAAAUAUGAUUAAUACUUUAUACGUGACUUAUCUUUUUAUUUUUUUUCCAUAAUUUUUUUAAAUAAGACAGACGAUGUUGGACACGGAAAUCAGGGUUUGUCUUUUU